rnacentral:rRNA from 1 species
CCUACGGGAGGCAGCAGUGAGGAAUAUUGGUCAAUGGACGAGAGUCUGAACCAGCCAAGUAGCGUGAAGGAUGACUGCCCUAUGGAUUGUAAACUUCUUUUAUAUGGGAAUAAAAUGUUCCACGUGUGGGAUUUUGUAUGUACCAUAUGAAUAAGGAUCGGCUAACUCCGUGCCAGCAGCCGCGGUAAUACGGAGGAUCCGAGCGUUAUCCGGAUUUAUUGGGUUUAAAGGGAGCGUAGGUGGAUUGUUAAGUCAGUUGUGAAAGUUUGCGGCUCAACCGUAAAAUUGCAGUUGAAACUGGCAGUCGUGAGUACAGUAGAGGUGGGCGGAAUUCGUGGUGUAGCGGUGAAAUGCUUAGAUAUCACGAAGAACUCCGAUUGCGAAGGCAGCUCACUGGACUGCAACUGACACUGAGGCUCGAAAGUGUGGGUAUCAAACAGGAUUAGAUACCCUAGUAGUC